GAUGAACGCUGGCGGCGUGCCUAAUACAUGCAAGUAGAACGCUGAAGGAGGAGCUUGCUCUUCUGGAUGAGUUGCGAACGGGUGAGUAACGCGUAGGUAACCUGCCUGGUAGCGGGGGAUAACUAUUGGAAACGAUAGCUAAUACCGCAUGACAACAGUUAUUGCAUGAUAAGUGUUUAAAAGGGGCAACUGCUCCACUACCAGAUGGACCUGCGUUGUAUUAGCUAGUUGGUGAGGUAACGGCUCACCAAGGCGACGAUACAUAGCCGACCUGGGAGGGGGAUCGGCCACCCUGGGACUGGGACACGGCCCAGACCCAUACGGGAGGCAGCAGUAGGGGAUCUUCGGAAAUGGCCGGAAGUCUGACCGAGAAACGCCGCGGGAGUGAAGAAGGUUUUCGGCUCGUAAAGCUCUGUUGUAAUAGAAGAACGAGUGUGAGGGUGGAAAGUUCACACUGUGACGGUAUCUUACCAGAAAGGGCCGGCUAACUACGUG
rnacentral:rRNA from 1 species